AUUGAACGCUGGCGGCAGGCCUAACACAUGCAAGUCGAGCGGAUGAAGGGAGCUUGCUCCUGGAUUCAGUGGCGGACGGGUGAGUAAUGCCUAGGAAUCUGCCUGGUAGUGGGAGAUAACGUCCGGAAACGGGCGCUAAUACCGCAUACGUCCUGAGGGAGAAAGUGGGGGAUCUUCGGACCUCACGCUAUCAGAUGAGCCUAGGUCGGAUUAGCUAGUUGGUGGGGUAAAGGCCUACCAAGGCGACGAUCCGUAACUGGUCUGAGAGGAUGAUCAGUCACACUGGAACUGAGACACGGUCCAGACUCCUACGGGAGGCAGCAGUGGGGAAUAUUGGACAAUGGGCGAAAGCCUGAUCCAGCCAUGCCGCGUGUGUGAAGAAGGUCUUCGGAUUGUAAAGCACUUUAAGUUGGGAGGAAGGGCAGUAAGUUAAUACCUUGCUGUUUUGACGUUACCAACAGAAUAAGCACCGGCUAACUUCGUG
rnacentral:rRNA from 1 species